rnacentral:rRNA from 1 species
GAUGAACGCUGGCGGCGUGCCUAAUACAUGCAAGUCGAGCGAACGGACGAGAAGCUUGCUUCUCUGAUGUUAGCGGCGGACGGGUGAGUAACACGUGGGUAACCUACCUAUAAGACUGGGACAACUUCGGGAAACCGGAGCUAAUACCGGAUGAUAUUUUGAACCGCAUGGUUCAACAGUGAAAGACGGUCUUGCUGUCACUUAUAGAUGGAUCCGCGCUGCAUUAGCUAGUUGGUAAGGUAACGGCUUACCAAGGCAACGAUGCAUAGCCGACCUGAGAGGGUGAUCGGCCACACUGGAACUGAGACACGGUCCAGACUCCUACGGGAGGCAGCAGUAGGGAAUCUUCCGCAAUGGGCGAAAGCCUGACGGAGCAACGCCGCGUGAGUGAUGAAGGUCUUCGGAUCGUAAAACUCUGUUAUUAGGGAAGAACAUAUGUGUAAGUAACUGUGCACAUCUUGACGGUACCUAAUCAGAAAGCCACGGCUAACUACGUG